UACAGAGGUCUCAAGCGUUGUUCGGAUUCAUUGGGCGUAAAGGGUGCGUAGGCGGCGCCGUAAGUCAGGUGUGAAAUUUCGAGGCUUAACCUCGAAACUGCAUUUGAUACUGCGGUGCUUGAGGACUGGAGAGGAGACUGGAAUUCAUGGUGUAGCAGUGAAAUGCGUAGAGAUCAUGAGGAAGACCAGUGGCGAAGGCGGGUCUCUGGACAGUUCCUGACACUGAGACACGAAGGCCAGGGGAGCAAACGGG
rnacentral:rRNA from 1 species